GGGGCUGACUGGUUUUGACAGCAAGGCCAAUGUGUAAGUAAGCAUGCAGUGAAAUGUUGUGUACUCACUUUAAUCAGGCACUUCAACUUUUUAACUGGCAACGAAGAGUACGCUUUAGCUGCAUAAUUCUGAAUCAAGUAGGAAUUUGCCCAGUCUGUAUUAGAUACAGAAGCUGAAUGUCCCUCAAAAGCCUUGACUUACGGCGUUUGAUUAAGGGACACGGGAAAGUAAGAAUAGGAAUCCUAGUGCAUCGGAUGGGUUCCGAGAUUUUAAGAUGAUAAGCGGUUGACAGAGUGUUUGUUCUCAGUUAAUCGUCGAAAAUUAAGAAUAAACUAAGCAUGUAGAAAGCUUAUGUGUUGCUUGUUUGGACGCGGGUUCGAAUCCCGCCAGCUCCACUU
rnacentral:tmRNA from 2 species